ACACCGGCCCUUUUCAGGGCCACCAACAUCUUACAAAGAGCUCUAU
rfam:Branchiostoma floridae genomic scaffold BRAFLscaffold_174, whole genome shotgun sequence.